GGUCGGAUGGUGUAGUGGUUAUCACGUCUCCUUUACAUAGCGGAUUCUUCCGGAUAUGUGCGGAGAAUGUCGGGGGUUCAAAUCCCCCUCUGAUCA